rnacentral:misc_RNA from 1 species
UGUCGGCACGUGAGCGGUGAUGGAUUCGCAUGCCACGGCGGGCUCCCUGCCACUGUGCAGCCAACCGGCGUCGCUGCAGCCCCCUCACUCGUGCUCCAACCACUCGGAGCCUCCCGCGUUGCCUGUACAACAUACUCGGUUCUCGGGCAAAUGACUUCGUCCGACACGCUCGUCCGCUCCCCUCGCCUUUGUGCGGGCGCGGAGCGGCAACGUCGGCGGUCCUCGUGCUCCCUCGGACGACGGCACGGCUUUGGCCCCUCGUCUCGUCCCGAUCGGCCCUCGAGGAUUCGCCAGCGCUCGCGGACACGGUAGACAAUGUUGGCUCGGGGCCUUCGUAGCCCCCGCACCACGAUCGGUCGGCUCACUUCGCCGCCCUCGACGAGACGACCGUCGGGCCCGUCGUCCCCCCACCACUCGCCUAACGGCGUCGGGCGGGCACAACGGGCGCGACG